UGUGUACCCCCUCCGUUCCAAAAUACUUGACUUCCAUUUGUCCAAAAAUGGAUGUACCUAUAUACUAAAACAUGUCUAGAUACAUAUAUAUUUUGACAAAUAGAAGGCAUGUAUUGUGCAACGGAGGGAGUAGAAU
rnacentral:pre_miRNA from 1 species